rnacentral:tRNA from 1 species
GUUUCUGUAGUGUAGUGGUUAUUACGUUCGCUUUACACGCGAAAGGUCCCUGGUUCGAAACCGGGCAGAAGCA